AUGGGCGGGUUUGUGAGGGUUAAGGGUGAAGGUGGUUUAAAGGCUUUCAAAGGGAUAACAAGGGGCAGCAGUCUGUUUUGGGCUAGUUUUGGGGAUGAUAUGAUGCAACAGCAGGUUCUGUUUGGGUAUUUAUCUCAGGUUUCUUGGACCAUUGUUGCCAGCAAGAAGUUGGAGCUAUUUUUUGUUUGUUUUGGGACUGAUUUGUUACAAGGUGGUUAA